CACGGCGCACGGGUGCGUACACGUGGGCAAUCUGCCCUCCGAUGGGGAAUACCCCCGCGAAAGCGGGACUAAUUCCGCAUAACAUUCCUUGGACUAACGUUCGAGGAUUCAAAGCAGCAAUGCGUCGGAGGAGGAGCCCGCGCCCGAUUAGCUAGUCGGUGAGGUAACGGCUCACCAAGGCAAUGAUCGGUAGCUGGUCUGAGAGGAUGGCCAGCCACACUGGAACUGAGACACGGUCCAGACUCCUACGGGAGGCAGCAGUGGGGAAUCUUGCACAAUGGGCGAAAGCCCGAUGCAGCGACGCCGCGUGAGCGAUGAAGCCCUUCGGGGUGUAAAGCUCUUUCGGCAGGGAAGAUUAUGACGGUACCUGCAGAAGCAGCUGCGGCUAACUACGCGCCAGCAGCCGCGGUAAUACGUAGGCAGCAAGCGUUGUUCGGAGUUACUGGGCGUAAAGGGUGCGUAGGCGGCUCGAUAAGUAUGGUGUGAAAUCUCCCGGCUUAACUGGGAGGGUGCGCUAUA
rnacentral:rRNA from 1 species